GAUGAACGCUGGCGGCGUGCCUAAUACAUGCAAGUCGAGCGAACGGACGAGAAGCUUGCUUUUCUGAUGUUAGCGGCGGACGGGUGAGUAACACGUGGAUAACCUACCUAUAAGACUGAGAUAACUUCGGGAAACCGGAGCUAAUACCGGAUAAUAUUUUGAACCGCAUGGUUCAAAAGUGAAAGACGGUCUUGCUGUCACUUAUAGAUGGAUCCGCGCUGCAUUAGCUAGUUGGUAAGGUAACGGCUUACCAAGGCAACGAUGCAUAGCCGACCUGAGAGGGUGAUCGGCCACACUGGAACUGAGACACGGUCCAGACUCCUACGGGAGGCAGCAGUAGGGAAUCUUCCGCAAUGGGCGAAAGCCUGACGGAGCAACGCCGCGUGAGUGAUGAAGGUCUUCGGAUCGUAAAACUCUGUUAUUAGGGAAGAACAUAUGUGUAAGUAACUGUGCACAUCUUGACGGUACCUAAUCAGAAAGCCACGGCUAACUACGUG
rnacentral:rRNA from 1 species